AGAGAUGCAUUGGGCUUAAAGGGUGCGCAGGCGGUUUUGUAAGACAGAGGUGAAAUCCCCGGGCUCAACCUGGGAACUGCCUUUGUGACUGCAAGGCUGGAGUGCGGCAGAGGGGGAUGGAAUUCCGCGUGUAGCAGUGAAAUGCGUAGAUAUGCGGAGGAACACCGAUGGCGAAGGCAAUCCCCUGGGCCUGCACUGACGCUCAUGCACGAAAGCGUGGGGAGCAAACA
rnacentral:rRNA from 1 species